rnacentral:rRNA from 1 species
GAGUUUGAUCCUGGCUCAGAAUCAACGCUGGCGGCGCGCCUAACACAUGCAAGUCGAACGAGAAAGCCGGGGCAACCUGGUGAGUAAAGUGGCGUACGGGUGAGUAACACGUGGAUCAUCUACCCUGGAGUGGGGAAUAACGCUGGGAAACCGGCGCUAAUACCGCAUAAUCCCGAGAGGGCAAAGGAGCAAUUCGCUUCAGGAGGAGUCCGCGGCCGAUUAGCUAGUUGGCAGGGUAAAAGCCUACCAAGGCAACGAUCGGUAGCCGGCCUGAGAGGGCACACGGCCACACUGGCACUGAAACACGGGCCAGACUCCUACGGGAGGCAGCAGUGGGGAAUCUUGCACAAUGGGGGCAACCCUGAUGCAGCGACGCCGCGUGAGCGAUGAAGCCCUUCGGGGUGUAAAGCUCUUUCGGCAGGGAAGAUUAUGACGGUACCUGCAGAAGCAGCUGCGGCUAACUACGUGCCAGCAGCCGCGGUAAUACGUAGGCAGCAAGCGUUGUUCGGAGUUACUGGGCGUAAAGGGUGUGUAGGCGGCCUUCUAAGUUUGGUGUGAAAUCUCCCGGCUCAACCGGGAGGGUGCGCCGAA